rnacentral:rRNA from 1 species
AGAGUUUGAUCCUGGCUCAGGAUGAACGCUGGCGGCGUGCCUAACACAUGCAAGUCGAACGAAGCUUGACGGAUGAUUUCUUCGGAAUGAAACCAGAUAUGACUUAGUGGCGGACGGGUGAGUAACACGUGAGCAACCUGCCUUUCAGAGGGGGAUAACGGCUGGAAACGGUCGCUAAUACCGCAUGAUGUGUUCGGAUGGCAUCAUCUGAACAUCAAAGAUUUAUCGCUGAAAGAUGGGCUCGCGUCUGAUUAGAUAGUUGGUGGGGUAACGGCCUACCAAGUCUACGAUCAGUAGCCGGACUGAGAGGUUGAACGGCCACAUUGGGACUGAGAUACGGCCCAGACUCCUACGGGAGGCAGCAGUGGGGAAUAUUGCACAAUGGGGGAAACCCUGAUGCAGCAACGCCGCGUGAAGGAUGACGGUUUUCGGAUUGUAAACUUCUUUUCUUAGUGACGAAGACAGUGACGGUAGCUAAGGAAUAAGCAUCGGCUAACUACGUGCCAGCAGCCGCGGUAAUACGUAGGAUGCAAGCGUUAUCCGGAUUUACUGGGUGUAAAGGGAGCGCAGGCGGGACUGCAAGUUGGAUGUGAAAUACCGUGGCUUAACCACGGAACUGCAUCCAAAACUGUAGUUCUUGAGUGAAGUAGAGGCAAGCGGAAUUCCGAGUGUAGCGGUGAAAUGCGUAGAUAUUCGGAGGAACACCAGUGGCGAAGGCGGCUUGCUGGGCUUUAACUGACGCUGAGGCUCGAAAGUGUGGGGAGCAAACAGGAUUAGAUACCCUGGUAGUCCACACUGUAAACGAUGAUUGCUAGGUGUGGGGGGUCUGACCCCUUCCGUGCCGGAGUUAACGCAAUAAGCAAUCCACCUGGGGAGUACGACCGCAAGGUUGAAACUCAAAGGAAUUGACGGGGACCCGCACAAGCAGUGGAUUAUGUGGUUUAAUUCGAAGCAACGCGAAGAACCUUACCAGCACUUGACAACCAACUAACGAAAUAGAGAUAUAUUAGGUGCCCUUCGUGGAAAGUUGAGACAGGUGGUGCAUGGUUGUCGUCAGCUCGUGUCGUGA